GAUGAACGCUGGCGGCGUGCCUAAUACAUGCAAGUCGAGCGAACGGACGAGAAGCUUGCUCCUCUGAUGUUAGCGGCGGACGGGUGAGUAACACGUGGAUAACCUACCUAUAAGACUGGGAUAACUACGGGAAACCGGAGCUAAUACCGGAUGAUAUUUUGAACCGCAUGGUUCAAAAGUGAAAGACGGUUUUGCUGUCACUUAUAGCUGGUUCCGCGCUGCAUUAGCUAGUUGGUAAGGUAACGGCUUACCAAGGCAACGAUGCAUAGCCGACCUGAGAGGGUGAUCGGCCACACUGGAACUGAGACACGGUCCAGACUCCUACGGGAGGCAGCAGUAGGGAAUCUUCCGCAAUGGGCGAAAGCCUGAUGGAGCAACGCCGCGUGAGUGAUGAAGGUCUUCGGAUCGUAAAACUCUGUUAUUAGGGAAGAACAUAUGUGGAAGUAAAUGUGGAUGUCUUGACGGUACCUAAUCAGAAAGCCACGGCUAACUACGUG
rnacentral:rRNA from 1 species